AUUGAACGCUGGCGGCAGGCCUAACACAUGCAAGUCGAGCGGAUGAAGGGAGCUUGCUCCUGGAUUCAGCGGCGGACGGGUGAGUAAUGCCUAGGAAUCUGCCUGGUAGUGGGGGAUAACGUCCGGAAACGGGCGCUAAUACCGCAUACGUCCUGAGGGAGAAAGUGGGGGCUCUUCGGACCUCACGCUAUCAGAUGAGCCUAGGUCGGAUUAGCUAGUUGGUGGGGUAAAGGCCUACCAAGGCGACGAUACGUAACUGGUCUGAGAGGAUGAUCAGUCACACUGGAACUGAGACACGGUCCAGACUCCUAAGGGAGGCAGCAGUGGGGAAUAUUGGACAAUGGGCGAAAGCCUGAUACAGCCAUGCCGCGUGUGUGAAGAAGGUCUUCGGAUUGUAAAGCACUUUAAGUUGGGAGGAAGGGCAGUAAGUUAAUACCUUGCUGUUUUGACGUUACCAACAGAAUAAGCACCGGCUAACUUCGUG
rnacentral:rRNA from 1 species